CCCAUCCCCGGAAUUCUAUGGAAAGGAACAUUCUUCCCCCGGAAUAAAAUCCUAGGCAUUAACAUUUUGACUAUGAUAUUACGUGUUACCGGAACUUGCGUAAGCGGAAAUUCCACUACCCGUAACCCGGAUGGAGGUGUAAUUCCGCGGGACCUUAAAUACACGCAACGCCCACCCGAUGCGACGGAAAAGACAACGCUAAAACAAGUUUUCACUUCGCGUUUUUCGAUCAGCAGAUUCUAAAGGACGACGUAUACGUGAGUUUUUAUUGCCGUGCGUUUUACUGUAAUUGUGAAUGAUUUUAACUUUAUUCACUUCCGUCCUGGAGAACGCGGCACGAGCUGAAAAGCAGCACCCACUCGACAUGACAGAAGAAACGUGUUCGCUUUGCCGUUUUCAUUCAUCAGAUUCGAAACGAAGGCGUAUCAUCGCAUCGAAACGUAGAAGAACUGUAACGACUGGAGCGGAGCGGGUGAAAAGCAUCCGUUUGAGCGAGGCUGGACACAAAGUUAAAAAGACCCAGUCGACACUUGGAGUCAGAAAGACGCAAAUCUACGAAACUUUAAAAAACAAGGCAUCGAUUCAACUCCUGAUGACCAGCCACCAUCCAGCAAGGAAGCAAUGCAAAUGGCAGCAUAAAUCCUUCAGUAUGCACAAGAAUUACCAGACAUCGGUGAUCAAAGGGACAGUUACUUGCAACUAGCAAGAAAACUGUAUAACACGCGGACAAACAUUCUCAUAAACCAAAGAAUGCAUCCAACAAAACAAUCCAAAAUACACAUUUUUCCCCAAGACAGAAAAAAUAAAUAUUAAAAUACUGUAUGUAUUUUACUGUUGUGAUUUUUUGGGAUAAACCUGUAUUGCAGUUUUUGUUAUAUAAACAGUAUAUUUGUCUAUUUUAUUGAUUGUGUUGUUACACAUGCAUUUUGUCAACAUACUUGCAGAUUCAUAAAAGACAUGUACCAUGCUCAUUUCCCAAAUGAGGAAUUUCUGUUAUAAGCACAAAUUGGACAGCGCAAACACGAGUCCAUACUAGAGAAUAUUUACUGUAUACCUGUGCGUGUGAUUGUGUCUGUGUAUAU